rnacentral:pre_miRNA from 1 species
CUCAUACUCACUCCGUCCGAAAAAGCUUGUCCCUCAAAUGGAUGUAUUUAGCACUAACUUGGUGCUAGAUACAUCCAUUUGAGGGACAAACUUUUUCGGACGGAGGGAGUAUUUC